AUUGAACGCUGGCGGCAGGCCUAACACAUGCAAGUCGAACGAGUGGCGGACGGGUGAGUAAUGUCUGGGAAACUGCCUGAUGGAGGGGGAUAACUACUGGAAACGGUAGCUAAUACCGCAUACCAUUGGAUGUGCCCAUAUGGGAUUAGCUCGUAGGUGGGGUAAAGGCUCACCUAGGCGACGAUCCCUAGCUGGUCUGAGAGGAUGACCAGCCACACUGGAACUGAGACACUGUCCAGACUCCUACGGGAGGCAGCGGGGGGGAAUAUUGCACAAUGGGCGCAAGCCUGAUGCAGCCAUGCCGCGUGUAUGAAGAAGGCCUUCGGGUUGUAAAGUACUUUCAGCGGGGAGGCGUUACCCGCAGAAGAAGCACCGGCUAACUCCGUGCCAGCAGCCGCGGUAAUAC
rnacentral:rRNA from 1 species